rnacentral:lncRNA from 1 species
GUACUAGCUUUUUCGUUUAGUGAGAAACAGCCAAUUAUUAAGCUUAUUAUUCGGUGAUAUUACAUCUUUUUUGUUUUUUAACAUCGAGUUGAUAUCAAGCUUUCAUUGUUUAAAUGGAUUAAAAAAAAAAAAAAAAACUUUCAUUGAGGUUCUUAAUCUUAUCUUCUGAGUAAAAGAGAAUUAUGCUCGAAUAACAUAGUUUAAAAUUCAAUAAUUAUUAAAAACACGGAAGGUAUUUUCAUGAGGCAGCAAACUUCAACAUCAC